CCUACGGGGGGCAGCAGUAGGGAAUCUUUCACAAUGGGCGAAAGCCUGAUGGAGCAACGCCGCGUGCAGGAUGAAGGCCUUCGGGUUGUAAACUGCUUUUAUAAGCGAGAAAUAUGAUGGUAACUUAUGAAUAAGGAUCGGCUAACUACGUGCCAGCAGCCGCGGUCAUACGUAGGAUCCGAGCAUUAUCCGGAGUGACUGGGUGUAAAGAGUUGCGUAGGUGGCAUAAUAAGUAGCUAGUGAAAUCUGGUGGCUCAACCAUUCAGACUAUUAGCUAAACUGUUAAGCUCGAGACCGUUAGUGGUAACUGGAAUUUCUAGUGUAGGAGUGAAAUCCGGAGAUAUUAGAAGGAACACCAAUAGCGUAGGCAGGUUGCUGGGACGGUUCUGACACUAAGGCACGAAAGCGUAGGGAGCAAACGGGAUUAGAUACCCCGGUAGUC
rnacentral:rRNA from 1 species